GGACAGUCAGACCCAAAGGAAGUCAGAAGCCUGCAGUUGGUGUCCAACAGUUCCAUCUGCCUGCAGGGAGCAGUCGACAACAGGCCUCCAGAUAAAUUCCAGAUGAUCUACAGGAAGCGAUCUGAAUGAUCCCAGCAUAGCUGGACAAAGCUAGAAUAAAUGUGGGGCUGUGGGACCAACAGGCCGUACAACACAUGAAGCAAAGCAAGUAUGUGCAUAUAAAGGUCAGAGGCCAACCUGGUCUAUGGAGCGAGUUCCAUGACAGCCAGCCAGAGCUACACAGAGAAACCCUCUCGCAAACAAAGGAACAAGAAAAAUUAAAAUUCUGGCUCUAAAGAUGUAUUGUCUUCUAUGUGUAUUGGUGUUUGGGUUGCAGGGUCUGUGUACCACAUGUGUGCAGUGCAGGCAGGGACCAGAAGGGGGCAUGAGAUCCUCUGGAGCUGGAGUUACAGACAGUGCUGAGCCACCACUCAGUGCUGUGCAACAGUUUCCAACAAAUCUGGAACAUUCCAUGAUGCAGGGAAGCUCCUUAAGCGGGAGGUAAAACACUCAAAAUAACUUCAGGAAGUCCCUGAAACUGACCAGAAUCAUUAGGUCCCUCCCUGCCAGAGUAAGCAAUAAAAGCCGAGAGUCCCUCUUAGACAAAGAGAAGAUGAGCUACAGAAAAGGAUUGUCAGACUGGACAGGCUCCCUGGAAGAAGCAGAAGCCAGGCAAGCUUCCAGGAAGAGGCUCAGACCCCCUGAGGCAGCGGGAAAGGAAGCUUUCCAACCUGAUGAGCUACCUGCGCGGUGUCAGCUUCCAGUCAUGCUGCUGUGGGCUUUGGUGAUGCGGCUGUCAUUGAAUCAUUUCUGCUCCUGUAAGUCACCCCUCACCCCUAUUCCUGUCAGUAACCCCAAUAAAACUCCUUGCUUCACCAACUUGGCCUUUGGUGCUAUCUGUACUAUGGUCUGUUUGCUCUAGGCUCCCUGUCUGGGGUGAGUAGAUGUGUGUGUUGUGUCUCCCCAGGAAAAGUUUAUCACAAUCACACAGGUGCUGGGAAUCAAACCAAAACCCCCAACUCCUGAGCCAUCUCCCCAAUUGCAAUGGUUUUUGUUUUAAGCAAAAGGAGAGCUGUGAUUUUAGUCUGAGGGAAAGGCACUAGCCUCAUGUGAGAACAAAGUCCUAGAGCCUGUCCGCAAUGUCGCAAGAAGAAAAGGGAGAGGGAGAAGGAAGCCAUUGAGAGAAGAAUGGAUCAACAACAAGUAAGACAUAUAUAU